rnacentral:rRNA from 1 species
AUUGAACGCUAGCGGCAUGCCUUACACAUGCAAGUCGAACGCGCGGCGAACGGGUGCGUAAUGUAUCGGAAUGUGCCCAGUAGUGGGGGAUAACGCCGCGAAAGCGUCGCUAAUACCGCAUACUAUUGGAGCGGCCUAUGUCGGAUUAGCUAGUUGGUAAGGUAAUGGCUUACCUAGGCGACGAUCCCUAGCUGGUCUGAGAGGAUGAUCAGCCACACUGGAACUGAGACACGGCCCAGACUCCGACGGGAGGCAGCAGUGGGGAAUAUUGCACAAUGGGCGCAAGCCUGAUGCAGCCAUGCCGCGUGUAUGAAGAAGGCCGUAGGGUUGUAAAGUACUUUCAGUCGGGAGGCGUUACCAACAGAAGAAGCACCGGCUAACUCCGUGCCAGCAGCCGCGGUAAUAC